rnacentral:rRNA from 1 species
GAUGAACGCUGGCGGCGUGCUUAACACAUGCAAGUCGAGCGAAGCACUUAUCAUUGACUCUUCGGAAGAUUUGAUAUUUGACUGAGCGGCGGACGGGUGAGUAACGCGUGGGUAACCUGCCUCAUACAGGGGAAUAACAGUUAGAAAUGGCUGCUAAUGCCGCAUAAGCGCACAGGACCGCAUGGUCCGGUGUGAAAAACUGAGGUGGUAUGAGAUGGACCCGCGUCUGAUUAGGUAGUUGGUGGGGUAACGGCCUACCAAGCCGACGAUCAGUAGCCGGCCUGAGAGGGUGAACGGCCACAUUGGGACUGAGACACGGCCCAGACUCCUACGGGAGGCAGCAGUGGGGAAUAUUGCACAAUGGGGGAAACCCUGAUGCAGCGACGCCGCGUGAAGGAAGAAGUAUCUCGGUAUGUAAACUUCUAUCAGCAGGGAAGAAAAUGACGGUACCUGACUA